GGCCCUGUGGUGAAAUUCAUGGUGAGUUGCAAGCUCAUUGAUGUACACUAGUUGUGUGCCGGGGUCU
rnacentral:tRNA from 1 species